rnacentral:rRNA from 1 species
CGGAGGGUGCGAGCGUUGUCCGGAAUCACUGGGCGUAAAGGGCGCGUAGGCGGCGCGGGUAGUCAUCGGUGAAAGCUCAGGGCUCAACUCUGAGUCGGCCGGUGAUACUCCCGUGCUCGAGCACUGUAGAGGCAGGUGGAAUUCCGGGUGUAGCGGUGGAAUGCGUAGAGAUCCGGAAGAACACCGGUGGCGAAGGCGGCCUGCUGGGCAGUAGCUGACGCUGAUGCGCGACAGCGUGGGGAGCAAACAGGAUUAGAUACCCUGGUAGUCCACGCCGUAAACGAUGGGCACUAGGUGCUUGGGGGAGCGACCCUCUGAGUGCCGGCGCUAACGCAUUAAGUGCCCCGCCUGGGGAGUACGGCCGCAAGGCUG